GGCAGUGUUUGAGGGGUGUUUUUGCAAUUGUGCUUUUCUAUAACUACACCCCACGCCUCUUCGAGGCUACCCUGAUGUAAUAUACCGAACUUCUAAUUCAUGAAGUUAAGAUGUAUGUUAGCUUAGAAAGCCGUUGGAAUCAUUCCGGCGAAGUUCGGGAGCAUUCGGGUGCUUCGGUGCGCAUAGGGCGCGAAAACGGGACCCGAAAGGCUAUGUUGGACCAUGGACUAAAUCCGGCAUUAGCGUGGAUGAAAAGAUGAUGAAAACAUGUUUGAAAACAUGUUUGGAGAGUCUCGGUUCGAUUUGAAAAGAAACGGAGGUCAAACGAGCGAAAACGAGCGAAAACGGAGUGAAAAAGGAUAAAGGCUGAAAAUGNUGGAUAGUCUCGGUUCGAUUUGAAAAGAAACGGAGGUCAAACGAGCGAAAACGAGCGAAAACGGAGUGAAAAAGGAUAAAGGCUGAAAAUGCUGAAAAUUUGGCUAAGUCUGGAAUUCUGGCCUUUCGGGGACCGGUCUCUCACCGCAAGGACCGGUCUCAGAACCCCGAAAAUGCCCAGUUUGGGCUGUUGCGAGGGAAGCAUUGUGGAGGGGCUUAAGUGCAAAAUGGCACUUAUGAGAGUGUAUAGAGAGGAUCCUUUCUCUCUUUCCCUCAUUUCUCUCACUCUCCCACACCAAAACUCUCCCUCUCUCUCUCUAGAAAGGAAAGGAGAAGAGAAGAAGAAGAAGAGAAAGAAGAAGAAGAAAAGGAAAAGAAGGUGAAGCAAGUGGAGAGCUUCCCUCCAUCAUCUUCUUCUUCACCUUGGAGCAAGCUUCUUGAGGUAAGCUUCUUGGAGCUUUAAUGGUAGAUCUUUAGGGUUAAGUUCUUAUACUCUAAAGAUGAUUUUAAUGGAAUCUUAGCAUGCUAAAUAGAUGGUUUAUGCUUGAUUCAUGAGAUGAAAUGGGGCAUUUUGCUAUAAUUGCAUUUAGGGCUCCAAAAAGGGGUUUUUGUAAAUAGUUGAGUUUGAUCUCAAUUGAC
rnacentral:lncRNA from 1 species